rnacentral:ncRNA from 1 species
CUGUAGGUCAGGAUAAUAGGGAAUCGUGUGAGAGUCACGAACAAUCCCGUUGCUGUGUAAGCGGAGCAUUUUUUCAAGCUGUAAGGCAGUCACUGUGAAAAUGGGAAGACGAAAAAAUGUGAUGAGGCUAAAGUCAGAAGACCUGCCUUUUUAUU